ensembl:lncRNA
CUUACACCUUGUAUCGAGGUUCAAGUUGUGCUUCAAGGAAAGAUGCUUCACAUAAUACUGUUGAUUGGACUGUUUUGUCGCUCUGCUUGUCAAAGCACUACAGCUACAGCUUCAACAGGUAGCAUUGCUGGUUUGACGGAGGUAUCUCCUACACUGGAAACAGGCCUCCAAACAUUUGCAGUACUGAGGGUUGUUGUCGUGUCCCAUGAAGAUAUGAAUGUAACGACUGCACAAACUACUUUGGAUAAGAUCGCGUCCCUGCUCCUACUAGGCCCAGAUGUACAACUAUCAGUGAGGAGUAUUCAGCGCAUUUAUUUUUCCACAUGACGACCUAGUCAUGUAGCCAUAUCUAUUCAAUCAAUCACUUCAACAACGCCUUUUGUGUCAUUCUCUCUAUAGCAGAAGAAAAAAACAAUGACUAUAAGUGUAUGGUAAGCCUAUGGAUCAAAUUAAUAAACAGCGGAACAAAGUAAUACUUUGUUUAUAUCCUUGGAAUCUUAAAAUCAACCAAAGGUGAAG